CUUCCCGCUGACGAGCGGCGGACGGGUGAGUAAUGCUUAGGAAUCUGCCCAGUAGUGGGGGAUAGCCCGGGGAAACCCGGAUUAAUACCGCAUACGUCCUACGGGAGAAAGCAGGGGAUCUUCGGACCUUGCGCUAUUGGAUGAGCCUAAGUCGGAUUAGCUAGUUGGUGGGGUAAAGGCCUACCAAGGCGACGAUCCGUAGCUGGUCUGAGAGGAUGAUCAGCCACAUCGGGACUGAGACACGGCCCGAACUCCUACGGGAGGCAGCAGUGGGGAAUAUUGGACAAUGGGGGCAACCCUGAUCCAGCCAUGCCGCGUGUGUGAAGAAGGCUUUCGGGUUGUAAAGCACUUUCAGUAGGGAGGAAAACCUUAUGGCUAAUACCCAUGAGGCUUGACGUUACCUACAGAAGAAGCACCGGCUAACUCCGUGCCAGCAGCCGCGGUAAUACGGAGGGUGCAAGCGUUAAUCGGAAUUACUGGGCGUAAAGCGCGCGUAGGUGGUUUGGUAAGCGAGAUGUGAAAGCCCCGGGCUUAACCUGGGAACGGCAUUUCGAACUGUCAGACUAGAGUGUGGUAGAGGGUAGUGGAAUUUCCUGUGUAGCGGUGAAAUGCGUAGAUAUAGGAAGGAACACCAGUGGCGAAGGCGGCUACCUGGACCAACACUGACAC
rnacentral:rRNA from 2 species